rnacentral:rRNA from 1 species
CUAGCCGUAAACGAUGGGCACUAGGUAGGGGGGUACCCAAUGCCUCCCUGCUGGAGUUAAUAUAUUAAGUGCCCCGCCUGGGGAGUAUAGUCGCAAGGCUGAAACUCAAAGGAAUUGACGGGGGCUCACACAAGCGGUGGAGCAUGUUGUUUAAUUCGAAGCAACGCGCAGAACCUUACCUGGGCUUGACAUGCUAGUAGUAGGAACCUGAAAGGGGGACGACUCUGGAAACAGAGAGCUAGCACAGGUGU